GGGUUCCGUCCGGAGUGACCGAGGGGGGGGGAGGUUGGGCGCGCGACCCCGUUGCCAGGUGCUCCCAGCCGGAAGGAGCUAGCGGGACUCCGGGCUGCGUGCUGCGAAGAGCCGCCAUGAGGUCGCGUGCCGCCCGCUGAGCCGCCACGAUCAGCGGGCGGCCCCGCAUCACCCCAAUCUGUGGCCACAGCAACCGUUCAGCCCUACUCUCUCCCAGCCCUACUCUCUCCCAGCCCUACUCUCUCCCAGCCCUACUCUCUCCCUGCUCUACUCUCUCCCAGCCCUACUCUCUCCCAGCUCUACUCUCUCCCUGCUCUACUCUCUCCCAGCCCUACUCUCUCCCAGCCCUACUCUCUCCCAGCUCUACUCUCUCCCUGCUCUACUCUCUCCCAGCC